rnacentral:rRNA from 1 species
CCUACGGGACGCAGCAGUGAGGAAUAUUGGUCAAUGGGCGCGAGCCUGAACCAGCCAAGUAGCGUGAAGGAUGACUGCCCUAUGGGUUGUAAACUUCUUUUAUAAAGGAAUAAAACGAGGCACGUGUGCCUUUUUGCAUGUACUUUAUGAAUAAGGAUCGGCUAACUCCGUGCCCGCAGCCGCGGUAAUACGGAGGAUCCGAGCGUUAUCCGGGUUUAUUGGGUUGAAAGGGAGCGUAGAUGGGUUGUUAAGUCAGUUGUGAAAGUUUGCGGCUCAACCGUAAAAUUGCAAUUGAUACUGGCAGUCUUGAGUACAGUUGAGGUAAGCGGAAUUCGUGGUGGAGCGGUGAAAUGCUUAGAUAUCACGAAGAACCCCGAUUGCGAAGGCAGCUUACUAAACUGUGACUGACAUUGAUGCUCGAAAGUGUGGGUAUCAAACAGGAUUAGAUACCCUGGUAGUC